rnacentral:lncRNA from 1 species
GUGGAGGUGGUCCUGGUGGACCUGUGCGACCUGGAGGUGGGGGUGGAGGUGGACCUGGUGGACCUGCACCAUUGCGGCCUGGAGGUGGAGGUGGAGGUGGAGGUGCACCAGGUGGCUUGGUUACUGAAGAAACUGUUCCUUGACGUGGAGCUCCAGGAGGGGGAGGAGGGAGCGGCGGUGGUGGUGGUCCAGGGGUAGCACUGGCUUUAGUAGCCACGCCAAAUGGAGGUGGAGGUGGGGGUGGGGGUGGUGAACUCUUGGAAAAACUAGAAGUAGAAGCGAUGGGAGGUGGUGGUGGUGGUGGAGCACCUCUUGAAGAAACAGGUGGAGGUGGAGGCGGAGGUGGUGGUGGUGGUGGAGCACCUCUUGAAGAAACAGGUGGAGGUGGAGGCGGAGGUGGUGGUGGUGGUGGAGCACCUCUUGAAGAAACAGGUGGAGGUGGAGGCGGAGGUGGUGGUGGUGGUGGAGCACCUCUUGAAGAAACAGGUGGAGGUGGAGGCGGAGGUGGUGGUGGUGGUGGAGCACCUCUUGAAGAAACAGGUGGAGGUGGAGGCGGAGGUGGUGGUGGUGGAGGUGGCAGUGGUGGAAGGGUCUUUGUGGAGAUAGGAGGCAAAGUGGGAGGUGGUGCUAUAGCAUCAUCUAAACUAUCAACAGGAACAUGUUUUGGUGAUGCUAAAGAACCAUUCACAUUACUUAAAUCAGCACUUGUAGGGGUGGAGGUGGAAUCACCUGCAUCUGAUAUCUUAUGCUGCAGCUGCAAUGGAUCCUCCAAUGAUUUCCGAUCAG